GGCCUGAUGGUCUAGUAGUAUGAUUCCUUGUUAGGGCAGUUUGUUGAAACUGGUCAUCUCGAGGAGGUCCCGGGUUCAAUUCCCGGUCAGGCCC